GGUUAAUUAGUUUAAUAAAAAACAGGUGUUUUGAAAACACCUAAUAAGAAAAUUUUCUUAUUAACCA
rnacentral:tRNA from 1 species